rnacentral:rRNA from 1 species
GAUGAACGCUAGCUACAGGCUUAACACAUGCAAGUCGAGGGGUAACGAGAGGAAAGCUUGCUUUCCUUGUCGACGACCGGCGCACGGGUGAGUAACGCGUAUCCAACCUGCCCCCAACUAGGGAAUAACCUUGCGAAAGUAAGACUAAUACCCUAUAAUUUCCUCAGAUGCCAUCUGACGAGGAAUAAAGAUUUAUCGGUUGUGGAUGGGGAUGCGUCUGAUUAGCUUGUUGGCGGGGUAACGGCCAACCAAGGCAACGAUCAGUAGGGGUUCUGAGAGGAAGGUCCCCAACAUUGGAACUGAGACACGGUCCAAACUCCUACGGGAGGCAGCAGUGAGGAAUAUUGGUCAAUGGGCGGAAGCCUGAACCAGCCAAGUAGCGUGCAGGAUGACGGCCCUAUGGGUUGUAAACUGCUUUUAUACAGGAAUAAAGUUAGCCACGUGUGGUUAUUUGUAGGUACUGUAUGAAUAAGGACCGGCUAAUUCCGUGCCAGCCGCCGCCGUAA